rnacentral:lncRNA from 10 species
UUGUAACAGGACACAACUGGAGAAACUAGUUAUUUCACCAAGGCUUUGACUGGAAUGGCAUGCUUCUUUAAAGAAUCAAAGUUGACUUGUAGAGCCAAUAAAAGCCCCUUGGGAAAUGUGGCCUCAUACCUUGUCUAUGCCAUCUCUGUACAAGAUUCCCGACUUGUGAUUUCAUAGUGUUUACUGAUGGACCAUGUACUUGGGAUAAAUUGGCCAACUGAAGGUUUCUUAUGCUGUGGUGUCUGAUCAUGAGCUCUUGGAAGCUUAUGUUUUGUCUGGAAUUAAGUUGGCACAAGUAGACAUCCUGAGACAUAAAGUGAAAAGGACCUAGAAGGAACUACUGGAAGAAAUAUCACCCCUAUUAAACUGGGCAAUUUUGUUUAAAUAUGAGUGUUCUGGAGGAAACAUGCAUUGUCACCAGGCUGGAUGGGACCCU